GUCUCGAUGGCGCAGUGGUCAGCGCAUCUGCCUAGCAAGCAGGGGACCUGGCUUCAAAUCCCAGUCCGGAGCA